rnacentral:misc_RNA from 1 species
AACACUGUUAACCUGCGGUACCUGCGGAAGGAUCAUUAUCGAGUUAGGGUUCCCUCUCACGGGGCCCGAUCUCCCAACCCUGUGUCUGCCACACCUUGUCGUUGCUUCGGCGGACCGGUUCCCCAACCGCCGGGGGUGCAUGCCCCUGGAGAGUGUCCGCCGAUGGCCCAACCACAAACACUCUUUUGUACGAAACCAUGUCGUCUGAAGAUACUUGAUAUAUGUAAUCAACACAAAACU